UGAGUAUGGGGUGUUAAGACAUUACAACUUUAGAUUUUUUGUUUUCCAUGUUUGGGGAAAAGGCUUUAGUUUGUUAUGUAUAAGCAAAAGUAUCGGUGAGGAAGAGCAGAUUUCCAGUUGUGUGCCACAUGGAAAUGAAGUAUUGGUAACUGUUCUUAACAUGUUGGUCUGCAUCAUGUGUUCCCUCAGCAAAAAGUAUCUUCACUAAUAGACAAAUUGAAAAGUUUCAAAAGGCAUUUAAUGAAUCUGAAAAAAAGAAAAAAAGACACCUAAAAGUAAAAUCUUGGUUGGUUGUAUGGGUUUAUGGACAGUGAAAUCCAUUUCUAACAAGCAAGAUUAAACUGCUCUAAUGAGAACCAUUUUGGGACUUAUGAAUUUAUGAAAUAGCAUUUAAAUUUUCAGCUCAGUCUUGCUUUACAAAGUCUGUCUUCACCUAAACUACACAUAAUUUAAUCUGGAGCAUGCAUUUACAUGGUCAAGUACAGGAAACUUUGUGCUGGAAAUCUCCACUGGUAAAGUAUGUUCAGCUCAUGAGAUAUGCAGCUCAGCAAGAACAUGAGACAUCCAGAUCCUGAAAUAUACAUUCUGCUAAAUAAAGGUUUGUAAAAUGUCAACAGGUAAUGUGGAACACACCUUUUAAGGUGUAGUCUGUUGAAACCCUUAAAAAAAAUAAAAUGGAUCAACAAAACACAUAUCUUUGUGACUAAAAUUUUCAAAACAAAAUUCUGUGCAUCCUUAAAUUAAAAUAUACUAUUCAAGCUUUAGUAUAAACAGGAAAUAAGACUGAAAAUUGUGUACAUAAGUCAAUGAAGAAUCAGCUGAUAGUGUGAUUUGAUGUAUGCAUUAUGUAACUUGAUCACAAAAUUAAAUGAAAUAUUAAAUGGCAGAAUAUGUUAUUUAGGUGAUUCAUUAAAGAACACUAAGAAGAUUGAUAACUGAUUCUUUAGAGGAACUGAUAGUCUAAGGAACUUUUGGUGGGACCCAAAGCUUCACACCAGGCCACCUUCACUUCCAUUGCCAUUGCAAGGAGCACUGUUUUAUUCUGUAUCUAUGCAGGAGCACGAAGAUUUGGCAAAGUUGAUAAAGUAAAAUAAGAUGCACGAGAUUUAGUGCUGGAGAUUUGCCUCACUUUUCUGUCCAUUUUGGUUCUCUUAUUUGCUUUCAUGACACGGCACAUGGGUCUGUAAGGACUGUCUGCUCACAAAACCAGCUGAGAAGACUCAGGAAACAUCUAAAAGAAGUCAAGACUAAAUGAGAAAAGCAAGUUUUCUCUGCCCUUAGCUGAGGAGGAGUGCCUGGUGCUCAAUGAGGAUGGAUAAGGGGAUUUGUCUGGUUGGAAUAACCUUUUGGGACAAGUGGUUUGUCAGAAAUCAGCACCAUUUGACCUCUGGACAGAGUACCCUGGGAAAAUGAAGGCUGAAGAGUGGAAGAGUAGAGGAGUACUGUGCUUGAGCAGACACAGGUAAAGCGAGAGGUGAAGGCAGAAGGAACAGCAGGAGACGUGGAAAGGCAAAUUCAGAUAUGUAUAUAUCCUGCUUGGGCACUGGAACUUGGGCUCCUCAGGGAAGUGGUCACGGCAUCAAUUCUGACAGAAUUCCAG